rnacentral:rRNA from 1 species
UACAGAGGGUGCAAGCGUUGUUCGGAAUUAUUGGGCGUAAAGGGCGCGUAGGCGGUGCGGUAAGUCUGUAGUGAAAUCUCUGGGCUCAACUCAGAGUCUGCUGCAGAAACUGCCGUGCUUGAGUGUGGGAGAGGUGAGUGGAAUUCCCGGUGUAGCGGUGAAAUGCGUAGAUAUCGUAAGGAAGACCAGUGGCGAAGGCGGGUCUCUGGACAGUUCCUGACGCUGAGGCACGAAGGCCAGGGGAGCAAACGGGG